GCUCUCGUAGUGUAGUGGAUAUCACAUCUGCUUAACACGCAAAGGUCCCAGGUUCGAGCCCUGGCGAGAGCA
rnacentral:tRNA from 1 species